rnacentral:rRNA from 1 species
AUUGAACGCUGGCGGCAGGCUUAACACAUGCAAGUCGAGCGGGGUGAUGGUGCUUGCACUAUCACUUAGCGGCGGACGGGUGAGUAAUGCUUAGGAAUCUGCCUAUUAGUGGGGGACAACAUCUCGAAAGGGAUGCUAAUACCGCAUACGUCCUACGGGAGAAAGCAGGGGAUCACUUGUGACCUUGCGCUAAUAGAUGAGCCUAAGUCGGAUUAGCUAGUUGGUGGGGUAAAGGCCUACCAAGGCGACGAUCUGUAGCGGGUCUGAGAGGAUGAUCCGCCACACUGGGACUGGGACACGGCCCAGACUCCUACGGGAGGCAGCAGUGGGGAAUAUUGGACAAUGGGGGGAACCCUGAUCCAGCCAUGCCGCGUGUGUGAAGAAGGCCUUAUGGUUGUAAAGCACUUUAAGCGAGGAGGAGGCUCUUUUGGUUAAUACCCAAGAUGAGUGGACGUUACUCGCAGAAUAAGCACUGGCUAACUCUGUGCCAGCCGCCACCGUAA